rnacentral:rRNA from 1 species
CUACGGAGGGUGCAAGCGUUAAUCGGAAUUACUGGGCGUAAAGCGCGCGUAGGCGGAUAUUUAAGUCUCAUGUGAAAGCCCUGGGCUCAACCUGGGAACUGCAUGGGAUACUGGGUAUCUAGAAUACAGUAGAGGGUAGUGGAAUUUCAGGUGUAGCGGUGAAAUGCGUAGAGAUCUGAAGGAACAUCAGUGGCGAAGGCGACUACCUGGACUGAUAUUGACGCUGAGGUGCGAAAGCGUGGGGAGCAAACGGGAUUAGAUACCCUAGUAGUCC